ensembl:snRNA U6 U6 spliceosomal RNA
GCUGAGAGAUUGCUCAGUGCAUGUACUAAAACUGGAACAAUACAGAGAAGAUCAGCAUGGCCCUGCCAAAAGAUGACAUGUAAAUUCAUGAAGCACUCCAUAUUUGU